GUGGCUAUGGUGAAGCGGUUAACACACCGGAUUGUGGCUCCGGCACGCGUGAGUUCGAUCCUCACUAGCCACC
rnacentral:tRNA from 1 species